rnacentral:lncRNA from 1 species
UCGGGCGUUCGCUCGGGAAAUGGAUGCUCCGCUGGUCCGCCAGCGCCGGGGGCGGGGAAAGCACGCGCUCCGGUGUGCGCGCCCCGCCCAGGAGUCGGCGGGAGCGCCCUCCUGCUCCUUCCUCUCUCACCAGCCCGUGGUUAAGCACCCAGCGAAGAAGUGGAGUACCUUAUAAGUUUCUUGCUUGGUAUUUGGGCGGCCGCAGCCGAGAAAGGAACAUGGCGCUUGUAGGCAGCCGAGUGGAGCUGGAAGCUGAUGAGGUACUAGCGACGGGCAACGCGGGCGCUAUCCCUGGAGCCCGCACCCGGGCGCGGGAGGGAUGGGCGAGCCCCGCUUG